AACGAACGCUGGCGGCGUGCUUAACACAUGCAAGUCGAACGAUGACGCCAGCUUGCUGGUGGCUUGGUGGCGAACGGGUGGGUAACCCGUGGUUGAUCUCCGCCAAACUUUGGGAUAAGCGUGGGAAACUGGGUCUAAUACCGAGUAUGACCGAUACUCGCCUGGGUGUUGGUGGAGAGCUGCGUCGGUUUGGGAUGGGCGCGCGGCCUUUCCGCUUGUUGGUGGGGUAAUGGGCUACCAAGGCGAAGACGGGUAGCCGGCCUGGGAGGGCGGCCUGCCACGCCGGGCUGGGGCUACGGCCCGGCCCCCUACGGGACGCAGGAGUGGGGAAGAUUGCACAAGGGGCGGAAGGCUGACGCAGCGACGCCGCGUGGGGUAUGACGUCCUUCGGGUUGUAUUCCACUUUCCCCUUGGACGAGGUGAAAGUGACGGUACCGGGAGAAGAAGCACCGGCUAACUACGUG
rnacentral:rRNA from 1 species